rnacentral:rRNA from 1 species
UACGUAGGGACCGAGCGUUGGCCGGAUUCAUUGGGCGUAAAGAGCUCGUAGGCGGCUGUUCAAGUCGAACGUGAAAACUCGGAGCUCAACUCCGAGCCUGCGUUCGAUACUGGACGGCUAGAGUCUGGUAGGGGGAUCUGGAAUUCCUGGUGUAGCGGUGGAAUGCGCAGAUAUCAGGAGGAACACCGGUGGCGAAGGCGGAUCUCUGGGCCAUUACUGACGCUGAGGAGCGAAAGCGUGGGGAGCGAACAGG